rnacentral:rRNA from 1 species
UACGAAGGGGGCUAGCGUUGCUCGGAAUCACUGGGCGUAAAGCGCACGUAGGCGGAUCUUUAAGUCAGGGGUGAAAUCCCAAGGCUCAACCUUGGAACUGCCUUUGAUACUGGGGAUCUCGAGUCCGGAAGAGGUGAGUGGAACUGCGAGUGUAGAGGUGAAAUUCGUAGAUAUUCGCAAGAACACCAGUGGCGAAGUCGGCUCACUGGUCCGGUACUGACGCUGAGGUGCGAAAGCGUGGGGAGCAAACAGG